GUUGCUGUUAUGCGGGAAAUAGUUGCGAAACACGAAGCCACGGCAUUGGUCGAUGGCGUGAAACAGCGGGUUCCAGUCGAACAUGGCCAGCAUGUAACCCGGCAAGGUAUUGGCAACGAACAUCUUGCCCGAGGCGAUCAUGUUGGCGCGCUG
rnacentral:ncRNA from 16 species